rnacentral:rRNA from 1 species
GUGGGGAAUCUUCCGCAAUGGACGAAAGUCUGACGGAGCAACGCCGCGUGAGUGAAGAAGGUUUUCGGAUCGUAAAGCUCUUUCGUUAGGGACGAACGUGCUCUUUGUGAAUAAUGAGGAGUAAUGACGGUACCUAAAUAAGAAGCCACGGCUAACUACGUGCCAGCAGCCGCGGUAAUACGUAGGUGGCAAGCGUUGGCCGGAAGUAUUGGGCGUAAAGCGCGCGCAGGCGGGAUAUCAAGUCUGUCUUAAAAGUGCGAGGCUCAACCUCGUGAGGGGACAGAAACUGGUAUUCUUGAGUGUCGGAGAGGAAAGUGGAAUUCCAAGUGUAGCGGUGAAAUGCGUAGAGAUUUGGAAGAACACCAGUGGCGAAGGCGACUUUCUGGACGAUGUCUGACGCUGAGGCGCGAAAGCUAGGGGAGCGAACGGGAUUAGAAACCCGAGUAGUCC